AUUGAACGCUAGCGGCAGGCCUAACACAUCCAAGUCGAACGCGUGGCGGACGGGUGCGUAAUGUCUGGGAAACUGCCUGAUGGAGGGGGAUCACUACUGGAAACGGUAGCUAAUACCGCAUACCAUCGGAUGUGCCCAGAUGGGAUUAGCUAGGAGGUGGGGUAACGGCGCACCUAGGCGACGAUCCCUAGCUGGUCUGAGAGUAUGACCAGACACAGUGGAACUGAGACACGGUCCAGACUCCUAAGUGAGGCAGCAGUGGGGAAGAUGGAACAAUGGGCGAAAGCCUGAUGCAGCAAUGCCGCGUGUAUGAAGAAGGCCUUCGGGUUGUAAAGUACUGGCAGCGGGGAGGCGUUACCCGCAGAAGAAGCACCGGCGAACGCCGUGCGAGCAGCCGCGGUAAUAC
rnacentral:rRNA from 1 species